UACAGAGGUCCCAAGCGUUGUUCGGAUUCAUUGGGCGUAAAGGGUGCGUAGGUGGUGCCGUAAGUCAGGUGUGAAAUCUCGGGCUCAACCCCGAAACUGCACUUGAUACUGCGGUGCUCGAGGACUGGAGAGGAGAUUGGAAUUCAUGGUGUAGCAGUGAAAUGCGUAGAUAUCAUGAGGAAGACCAGUGGCGAAGGCGGAUCUCUGGACAGUUCCUGACACUGAGGCACGAAGGCCAGGGGAGCAAACGGG
rnacentral:rRNA from 1 species